GAUGAACGCUGGCGGCGUGCCUAAUACAUGCGAGUCGAGCGAACGGACGAGAAGCUUGCUUCUCUGAUGUUAGCGGCGGACGGGUGAGUAACACGUGGAUAACCUACCUAUAAGACUGGGAUAACUUCGGGAAACCGGAGCUAAUACCGGAUAAUAUUUUGAACCGCAUGGUUCAAAAGUGAAAGACGGUCUUGCUGUCACUUAUAGAUGGAUCCGCGCUGCAUUAGCUAGUUGGUAAGGUAACGGCUUACCAAGGCAACGAUGCAUAGCCGACCUGAGAGGGUGAUCGGCCACACUGGAACUGAGACACGGUCCAGACUCCUACGGGAGGCAGCAGUAGGGAAUCUUCCGCAAUGGGCGAAAGCCUGACGGAGCAACGCCGCGUGAGUGAUGAAGGUCUUCGGAUUGUAAAACUCUGUUAUUAGGGAAGAACAUAUGUGUAAGUAACUGUGCACAUCUUGACGGUACCUAAUCAGAAAGCCACGGCUAACUACGUG
rnacentral:rRNA from 1 species